AAAAAAAUACAGUCAGAGAAAUGUUUAUACUACUAAUUAAACCCGACAGCAAUGAGACUUCUGUGUGUUUAUGUCCUCAACUGACCCGCAAACACAAAGAACAAUUUUAACGUUUAUUCAGCAACAGGAACUGACAGUAUCAACACAAGAUCAUAGCAAGUUGACGGGAGUUAAUAAAAAUAAAAAAAGAACUAAUAGCAAUGGCCUUUUGUGAAGCAUAGAUGGCAAGUUCUGUAGGGAAGGCUGGUCUGAUGUGUAGUCAGAGCCAGUAGUGGUGAGAUUGAGAUGCACACUUCACUGACAGUGAUUUUCAGCCAUUGUUUACGCCCUGAUUUACUGCGUCUGGCUUUAUCUGGUGCAGAAUUAUGACGCCAGUCUCACAUCAGUGACAAAAAAGCUGGAUAAAAUGCAACAUGACCAUUGAGACUGCAGACGCUUUGAAAACAAUCGAAUGCAUAUCCGAAUUAGUAUCAAGUAUGGAAAUAGCACAGAUCGUAAUUUUUGAGGAGUAGAAAAUUGGAAUUGGGCCAGUCAGAUUGCUAUGAAUAAGCCAAAUAUAUGUAACCUAAGUGUCAUUUUAAACCUUCAUGUCUUUUGAUUUUCUACUUUUGCCUUUUAGCCUUAAUCUCGCGAUGUUUUAAUAACCUUAGGAGUGAUUCUCGCGAGAUUAUUUAGCCAAUCGUGGCUAAGUAUUGGGGUCACGUGUACCGUCGCAGUUUAUUGGCUCGGUAUAUUAGCUGGAGCGAAAGGCAUGAAGGUUAGAUCGCGUCGGAAGGAGCAGAGCUGGCAGGUCAGUUAAAGCAUAGUAUCAUUUAAUGUCUGUAAAUAUGUACGAUGCUCACUUAAUGUACUGAACUGUAGGAGCCCAUUAUUGUGAGCCGGAAAGGGAGAUGGAAAAGAUCCGGUAGUAUGACACAAAACUGCGGAACUGGCCAGAUGGAUGGCGAGCUAUGAGACCAGGCCUAGAGCCAAGGAAAGAAUUCACCUGUUGGUGAUUAAGGACUGUUUACUUCUCCUACCCAGCCGGUAGGAGAAUCCUACAAAGGACUCUGCUCCUUCUUUGAUUGGACUUUCAUUUACCCAAGACGUGAAUCAAGCUCCGGAUACUCGCCUUGUUGGUGAGCCUGAUUGAUCCCCAUUCGGGGUGGAUGGACUAAGGGGGGGUGUGAGAUGAACUUUAACUUUGGGACCGAUUAAUUAAUUAGUUUUUUUGUCGUUUGUUGUUUUUUUUUUCCUUGUAUUUUUCUUUUUUUUAUUUCCUUUUUCUUUCAUUCAUGCUUAUGUUUCAUAUCACAAUGUG